rnacentral:sRNA from 1 species
GCUAGCACAUUUGGUCACUCCUAGUUUGGAAUGUUGUUGGAGCCUUUAGGAGGCAGAGUCUUCGUCCAAGGGUAGGUCACUGAGGACAGACAUGAGGUUUGAUACCUCAGUCUCGUCUUCAGUUUUCUGACUGUGGACGUGGUGUGACCAGACACUUGGAGCCCCUACCAUCAUGACUCUACACUAUGAUGGACCACAGCUCCUCAAACUGGGAGCCUCCUAUAAGAUCUUUUUCAUCAGAUAAGUAGAGUUCUGAACAUCACAUUCUACAGUCAAGUCCCACCAAGUGCUUUCAGGUCAGCUGCAGCCUGCUGCCUGAGAUGUCUGCAUGCGACAGUUGUGACCUCCAUUCCUCAGUUCAAGCACCACCCUACCUACUGUCUGUGUAGAGAAAGGCAUCACUUUCUCUCUUAGCUGGGAACAUGCAGACAUGGUCAUACAUCCCUGUCAUUCCUUCCAAGAUAGCCUUGGAUUGAGGACCUACUAUGAUCAAGAGAGGGACUUCCCUAAGCACAGAGCAGUAGCAAAGGGGUCGAGACUCACAGGUUGAGAAACAUUGCUCAGGAUACUUCCUUCCAUGUUGUGGCUUUGGCUCAGCUAAGCACCUCUGUCCAGCCCCAUCCCAGCCUCUUCACUUCUGGUUCUUCCUGGCCAAUCCUUCGUUUCCUCAUCUAUCAAGUCAAGACAAUGGCAUCUACUUUUCUGUGAGCUGUGUGGGUUUGGAACAUGGCAGGCACCAGUUAGUGUCAGUUUGCCUUCUGGAUUAGAAUGUUUCCAUUUACAUUUGCCUCAGGAACACUGCCAUUUUCUUGGUGUGGUUAAUCUUAACUACCUCUAAGGGGGAAAGUCCUUUGAUUGAACAAAUUUAUGUCAAUGUGUUUUCUGCAAAUAUAAGUCAUUUUAGUUCUCCAAAAGGCAUCUGGAAUGUUUUUCUGAGUCCAUGUUAACCUAAAAUCAUUUUGCAGUUUGUAAGGUUGUGCAUGUCCAACAAUUAACAGAACAAAGUGGAAAAAUAUGGAUGUAGGUUGAUGAGAAACCAGCUUCCAGUGGUCAGCUGCUCCCAGUUCUUUGCCCUGUUCAGCUUCUUCUUCUACUCCUGAGGUUGAAGAUGGACGUGACUUCCCAGCCUUGGGAACCAAAGCUCCCCACGUUAGCCUGGUCUUCCCUGGCCUCAAGGCACACCUUCUGUCAGCCUGCUCCAUACAGACACACUAGUACAUCAAUGAACUCAAUGCCCAUGCCCUACCAAGCCCCUCUUGCCCACAUGUAUAGUGACGGGAAGAGAUCGAGGAGCCACACACUUGUGAGCGGUGUAUCAGCAAGGAGACAAACCAUCGCAGCUGCCUUGAACAUGUGAAAGCUCCUGUUGCCUUCAUUUGCCUCCCAGCAGCCCAGAAAACAUGGUUCAUCUCCCACAACGACAGCUACAAAGGGCCAAAGUCAUCCCUCAACAUCGUGACUUGGAUGUCUCUUUUGAUCACGAGUCUGCAUGGAUUCCUCAUAGGCCAACAUGGAAUGGAGCUUCACAUCCGUCACUGAUUACUUUGCCAUUUUGGACAGGUUGUUCCUUCCCUCUGGUGAAUCUCAAAUGUUAACGUCUAGCAAAAUGGGUAAGCUGAGCUUAUAGUAGGUGCACGCUGCCAGCACCCAGAACUCCUGGAGGUAAGAGGGCUUCAGUAUGUGAGUGCUACCAUAGCCCAUCUCCUGAAGGAGUGGAACAGCCGAGUCCUGUCCCAAUCCCAACACCAAGUUAGCAGUGCAGAACAGGGUGUACACACUCUGCCCUGAACCCAGUGCUCACCACCACAUGGGCAGGCACUACCAUGAGUAGUUUUCCUAUAAAGACUGCAUCUUUACAUCUUUUUAAAAU